rnacentral:rRNA from 1 species
AUGGCCUAUGCUAGCUUUCUGCUGGAAGUGUUUCUGCUGCCUCCCCAAGAUGCUGGAAGGUCACCUCCAUCGAUGCUCUCUCCGCCGCUUCCACAAGCCGUCAGACUGUACAGUUCUGCAAGGAAAAAGAAUGGAAAAGGAAUAGAAGAAGACAAUGCUGAAGCACAAGAGCAUGAGAGGCUAGCUUUACUUAAAGCAAGGAAUAGUGAUGAUUUUGAACGAUUUGGGUCCUUUACAUUCUCAAAUCUAAAAGAAGAUUUUAGAGGACGAGCCAGUCAGCGACAAAGUAAAAGAAAGAAGGUUUCUCAAAGAUUGACAAGUUGA